AACGAACGCUGGCGGCAUGCCUAACACAUGCAAGUCGAACGAGACCUUCGGGUCUAGUGGCGCACGGGUGCGUAACGCGUGGGAACCUGCCCUUAGGUUCGGAAUAACUCCCCGAAAGGGGUGCUAAUACCGGAUAAUGUCUUCGGACCAAAGAUUUAUCGCCUUUGGAUGGGCCCGCGUUGGAUUAGCUAGUUGGUAGGGUAAAAGCCUACCAAGGCGACGAUCCAUAGCUGGUCGGAGAGGAUGAUCAGCCACACUGGGACUGAGACACGGCCCAGAAUCGUACGGGAGGCAGCAGUGGGGAAUAUUGGACGAUGGGCGAAAGCCUGAUCCAGCAAUGCCGCGUGAGUGAUGAAGGCCUUAGGGUUGUAAAGCUCUUUUAGCCGGGAUGAGAAUGACAGUACCGGGAGAAUAAGCUCCGGCUAACUCCGUG
rnacentral:rRNA from 1 species